GCAACCGACCCCGCGUUAGGACAGCAGCCUGAGCGCUCGGUGCUGCGCAGCUGCUUGCUGGCCCUGCACGGCCCGGCCCCACGCCGGCCACCCGUACCCUGCAGCUCCUCCUCCACGCUCUAACACGGAACCCUCCGCUGCGGACACGCUGCUCGCUGCCGGGGCCGCGACCCACCGCUCGUUUCCGUUCGGCUGGCACCGCCCAGAGCCGCCGCGGAUGCCCGGGCCGGCGGGAGGAGAAGGAAGCACGGGCGGAGGCUGCGACGACUGAUGGCGGCGGGGACGAGCGGCGCCGGGCUGCUGCCCUUCCUGCGGCUGCUGGGGCAGCUCAAGAGGGUGCCGCGCACGGGCUGGGUGUACAGGAAGGUGGCGCAGCCGGAGAGCGUCUCUGACCACAUGUACAGGAUGGCCAUGAUGGCUCUGCUGACUGAAGACAAAAGCCUGAACAAGGACAGAUGCAUACGGUUAGCUUUGGUUCAUGAUAUGGCUGAAUGCAUCGUUGGAGAUAUUGCUCCUGCAGAUAAUAUCCCCAAAGAGGAGAAGCACAGGAGAGAAGAGGCAGCUAUGCAGCAACUGACUCAGCUUCUAUCAGAGGACCUCAGGAAAGAAAUCUAUGAACUCUGGGAGGAAUAUGAAAACCAACACACUGCAGAAGCCAAGUUUGUGAAACAGUUGGAUCAGUGUGAGAUGAUCCUGCAAGCAUUUGAGUAUGAAGAGUUGGAAAACACACCUGGCAGGCUGCAGGACUUCUAUGACUCAACUGCUGGAAAGUUUGUCCACCCAGAAAUACUCCAGCUUGUAUCUCUGAUUAAUACAGAAAGGAACAAGAAAAUAGCUUCUACAUCUCCCCCCCAGUCCUGAGGUGUUAAUAAAUAGCUCCCUAUGCCCUCUUCCUGCAAAAGCAGUAACACCUAAACUGGAUUUCUCUGGCACUGUGGAAACAGCAUGGACAGCCUUACCCGAGCCAAGCUCUACCACAUCCCCUGCCUCCUCUCUGGUCUCUGUGACAGGUGCUGUCAGUUCAAGGCAACUCAAAAGCCCAGAGUGUCUCCUUGGUAUCACAACUUAUUUCUGACAAGGCCAUCAGCAAGGCUGAAGUUCCUAGCUCCUCACAGACAGCUGCAGAGCAGUCCAGCAGUGCUGCAUGAAAAGCUCCUCCAAGCCUUACCAGCACGCAGAGCAGCAAGGACCCUCGACUCCACAUGACUUAUAUGCUCUACAGGGCAGGAAUCAUACUGAAAUGUUAGUGUCACCUCUACUCCUGAGAGCUGAGUCCAUUUGAGUGACCUGAGACUCCCCUCUUCCCCUUUUCCAGGUCAGAAAUGUUAAAGGACACAACAGGAGCUGAGUGGAGGGGUAACAAAAAACCCUGAUGGCAUUAUCAUUAAUCAAGCCCAAGAGCUACUCAUGAAGAAUCUCUCACCUUAACUAUACUACCAGUGCCUGCUCUGAAACCUGUGGCACAAGGUACAGUGGAACAGGAUAACAUUAAACAGAAUGCACCUGGAA